AAGUCGUAACAAGGUCUCCGUUGGUGAACCAGCGGAGGGAUCAUUACCGAGUUAUUACUCCAAACCCUCUGUGAACCUUACCUUUUUUGUUGCUCGGCGCCUCGCGGGCCGCGGGCUUCGGCCCGUCCCGCAGGCGCCAGAGGACCCAACUCUUCCAUUUUACAGUUUACCUUCUGAUUUACCAAACAAACAAUUAAAACUUUCAACAACGGAUCUCUUGGUUCUGGC
rnacentral:misc_RNA from 1 species